rnacentral:misc_RNA from 1 species
AUUCUGUCGUCUUGUAUAACCCUAGGGUGUUAGCGAAAGCAGGGAUUAGCAACGAAAAUGUUAUACUCGGCGCUACCGUCGCAGUUGGAGCUGUGAAGACGGGCUGCAUAUUGGUGGCAACGUUCCUCUGUGACCGUGUCGGCCGGCGGCCGCUGCUGCUGACUAGUGUUGGCGGGAUGGUUGUGUCACUGCUUGUGCUGUCGACGGGUUUGUUGGUGAUUGAUCGGCAACCGGAUGCUAAUCUGCCAUGGCUAGCGGUGCUGUGUGUCGCCAUGGUGAUUGCGUUUGUCGGCUCGUUUGCGGUCGGUCUGGGGCCGAUUGCGUGGGUGUAUACGUCGGAGAUAUUCCCGUUGCGACUGAGGGCGCAAGGGGCGAGCCUGGCGGCGGGGACUAAUAGGAUCGUAAGCGCGGUGGUUACCAUGUCGUCGUUGUCGCUGUAUAAUACGAUUACGGUGGCUGGGAGCUUUUAUCUGUAUGCGGCGAUAUCAGUUGUGACGUGGGUGUUUAUCUACAUAUUGUUGCCGGAGACUAGAGGGAGGAGCUUGGAGGAGAUGCAGGUUUUGUUUGGUGGUGAAAAACUUCAAGGACGGAAAGAUGAGAGGAAGAGUUUGGUUGAUUGUUAGUUUUGUUGGAUUCUUCGGGCAUUUCUGCAAGGAAGCGUGUGCAUGUGGUGCCUAUUAUA